CUCCUACGGGAGGCAGCAGUGGGGAAUAUUGGGCAAUGGGGGAAACCUGACCCAGCAACGCCGCGUGAAGGAAGAAGGCCUUCGGGUUGUAAACUUCUUUUACCAGGGGCGAAAGAAAUGACGGUACCUGGAGAAAAAGCAACGGCUAACUACGUGCCAGCAGCCGCGGUAAUACGUAGGUUGCGAGCGUUGUCCGGAUUUACUGGGUGUAAAGGGCGUGUAGGCGGAGAUGCAAGUUGGGAGUGAAAUCCAUGGGCUCAACCCAUGAACUGCUUCCAAAACUGUAUCCCUUGAGUAUCGGAGAGGCAAGCGGAAUUCCUAGUGUAGCGGUGAAAUGCGUAGAUAUUAGGAGGAACACCAGUGGCGAAGGCGGCUUGCUGGACGACAACUGACGCUGAGGCGCGAAAGCGUGGGGAGCAAACAGGAUUAGAUACCCUGGUAGUCCACGCUGUAAACGAUGAAUACUAGGUGUGGGAGGACUGACCCCUUCCGUGCCGCAGUUAACACAAUAAGUAUUCCACCUGGGGAGUACGACCGCAAGGUUGAAACUCAAAGGAAUUGACGGGGGCCCGCACAAGCAGUGGAUUAUGUGGUUUAAUUCGACGCAACGCGAAGAACCUUACCAGGACUUGACAUCCAACUAACGAAGUAGAGAUACAUUAGGUGCCCUUCGGGGAAAGUUGAGACAGGUGGUGCAUGGUUGUCGUCAGCUCGUGUCGUGAGAUGUUGGGUUAAGUCCCGCAACGAGCGCAACCCCUAUUGUUAGUUGCUACGAAAGAGCACUCUAGCGAGACUGCCGUUGACAAAACGGAGGAAGGCGGGGACGACGUCAAAUCAUCAUGCCCCUUAUGUCCUGGGCUACACACGUAAUACAAUGGUGGAAAACAGAGGGAAGCAAAGCCGCGAGGCAGAGCAAAACCCUAAAAGCCAUCUCAGUUCGGAUUGCAGGCUGCAACUCGCCUGCAUGAAGCUGGAAUUGCUAGUAAUCGCGGAUCAGAAUGCCGCGGUGAAUACGUUCCCGGGCCUUGUACACACCGC
rnacentral:rRNA from 1 species